rnacentral:lncRNA from 1 species
UGCGAAAACUCUGCAAGUGCACAGAUCUAUCGUGUAGUUUUAAAAGAUAUCGAUCCCACAGGGACUAUUUUCUCAAUAAUUCGCUUGUUUUUAAUAAAUCGUAAGGUCAAUGCUUUAAUCAAAAGAGGAAUUCUAAUUAAUAACUAAAAUAAAUUUGACUUUUUUAAAAAAAGGAUAAAACUAAACCGGAAUGUGAUUUUAGUCGC